rnacentral:rRNA from 1 species
AUUGAACGCUGGCGGCAUGCCUAACACAUGCAAGUCGAACGAGUGGCGGACGGGUGAGUAAUGUCUGGGAAACUGCCCUAUGGAGGGGGAUAACUACUGGAAACGGUAGCUAAUACCGCAUACCAUCGGAUGUGCCCAGAUGGGAUUAGCUAGUGGGUGGGGUAAAGGCUCACCUAGGCGACGAUCCCUAGCUGGUCUGAGAGGAUGACCAGCCACAUGGGAACUGAGACACGGCCCAGACGCCUACGGGAGGCAGCAGUGGGGAAUAUUGCACAAGGGGGGCAAGCCUGAUGCAGCCAUGCCGCGUGUAUGAAGAAGGCCUUCGGGUUGUAAAGUACUUUGGGCGGGGAAGCGGUAUCUGCAGAAGAAGCACCGGCUAACUACGUGCCAGCCGCCGCGGUAAUAC